UCUCAAUUCCAAACUAUCAAUAUCUUUCCCAAAUCCCUGCAUGAUCUUUUCUCUCUCUCUCUCUCUCUCUCUCUCUCUCUAUAUAUAUACCUAUAAUUACGAUUAUCUUUAUACUCAUAAGUCAUUUUCGAUAAUAAAACUUCCGAAUCGAUGAUACAUACCAUUAAACAUGAUUUACAGCAUUUAAAACUUCUAAAAAUCAAAUUUCAUAUUUUUUCAAUAUCAUUUACCUUAUGAUAAAAAAAUCUUAAAAUUAAAAAUUUUUAACGGCCAGUAUAAAAUACUUGCUAAUUUAACAGUGUAAAAGAAUCAAAAUUGACUGAAUUUUUAAUAGAAAAUUAUAUGCAUUAUCUAAAUAAAGAUCAAUAACUUCUAUCUUAAAUUGAAGAAUCAGAUCCUCUAUUUUUAGUAGGCCGUUCAACUUUGAUCCUUCAUUUUAUGCUUGCUUGAUGGAUUUUAAUAUAAUUUCGAUAAACUACGAAUUUUUUUUUAAGAGUUUCAAAUACUCUAGAUCAUAUUUAACGGUAUGAAUCGUCAAUUUGAAAGUUGCAUUAUCAAAAGUAACUUACAAGAGUACGAAGAGAUCUAUACUUAUACUCUUAUAGUAACUCUACUCUAUAUAUAUAUAUAUAUAUAGAGAGAGAGAGAGAGAGAGAGAGAGGGAGAGUUGAGCUAGAAUAUUAUUGGCAGGAUGAGAAUAGUUUUACUAUCAACUUUUUGAUGAUUAAAUGUUUAGGGUUUAGGAAGGGUUGGUGAAAAAUUGAUAAUCUAAGAAUGAAAACAUUGAUAGUAAAUACUAUUCAUAUAUUAUUAAUAAAUUACUAACUCAACUCCUAUAUAGAAAUGACCGACCGUUCCUAGAGCAAGUGGCAAAGGGCUUGGUGGUUGGUACCCGAGGUCCCAAGUUCGAAUCCUAGUUGAUUCACAUUUCCAGCUAAGUUUAUUUCUAAAUGAAAUAAAUGAAACGAGUAGCAUGCUACCUAUCUCUCUCAAAAAAAAAAAACUAACUCAACUCCUAUAUAGAAACGUGUUUGUGUGUGUACUUAGCAUGCCUGUGUCUCACUUAAACUAGAUCCCUACUAAUUGGGGAUUCUAAUCCUGUACCCCUUUAAGUAUGCUUUCCAAUGCAGUCACAAAAAUCACGUUAAGGAUUGCUCUUCUUUUAUUAUUCCUACUAAUACAACUCUGAUUAAGGUGGCGCUAACAAAAUAAAUUUAAAUGCUCAACCUUCGCUCUUUAAAUGGAGAGGGCACAUAGUUAAUGGUGGUGUGAACGGUAAAAGAGAUUUUGAAUCACAGAAUAAGUGAAGUAAUUGACAAUUGACAUUAAACUUUCGGUUUUUAAUUUGUUAGCGUGACUUUCACUUGAACUGAUUGUAUGGGUAUCAGAGUUAGGGUGAGAAACAGAAGGUUGGAUGUGAAUGGCCCAAUUUGAUAAGUCAUUUCAUUUACAUGCAAGUAAAAGAGAGGUUUUUUCAUUGGAGUUGUGCACAAUGAUUACUCUUGCUUAACUUACAAAAUAUUUCUUAGAAUUGUGCCCAAUUAAAAGUUCACAAUCAGCUUAAUCUUUUUUUAGUCUCUUUUGGAUCAAAAGAGUUGAAACUUUGUCUCCUCUUCUUCAUCUGGUCAUUGGUGGAUCUUCAAGUUGUGGGUCUUCAAUUUGGUAAAACAGUUAAACCCUAAGACAAUCAUGAUAAUUAUUAUGUACAAGCUAGUAAUUAUGAAACUCCUCUUGUUUAUCAACUAAGCUUUUAUGAUGAUUAUAUUUUAUAUUCAUAAAUAUUGAUCUUUUGAUGAGUAGAAAAUAGUAGUAUCUUCAAAUGGGGCGUAUCGUACGAGUUAGGGAAUGGAAGCACAAUCAACUUUUGGACAGACUGCUAGCUGGUGCGAGAAAAUCCCCCUACAAUCAUUAUUUCCGGACUUGUAUGACACGGCAACGCGCAAAAACAUGAGAAUUAAGGAUUGCUUGACGUGUGACGGAUGGAAUUGGAACAAAAUAAUAAGGAGAAACAGUUCUAUUGAGUUCGGAUCAAGGUCUAGCUUUUCAGCACUUAGGGGAAAGGAUAUCCGAUUUUAGAGCAGAUCAAAGGCCGGACAGAGUUUUGUGGAGGUACGUGGAGCUCUGACGGUCGAUUCUCGGUGAAAUCGACCUAUUCAGCUUUGAAUGAUGGGGGUACGAGGGACGCCCGAGCAAACAAAAUAUGGAACCUUCGAAUACCACUAAAAGUAAAAGUGUUUUGUUGGAUCGUCCUCACGAAGAGGUCUCCGACGGUAGAUAACUUGAUUAAGAGAGGAUGGGUCGGAAACACAGCUUGUGUGCUAUGUGGGGUUGAAGAAGAAUCGGUAGACCAUUAUUCACACAGUGCGUGUUUACUAGAUUCCUAAUGGUGAUGACCUUGGAUGGCAUCCAGUCCGAGGAUAUUGGAAACGACGUGAAAUUGGUCUGGGAUAUGUUGAUGAUUAGAAAAGGGCGCCAGACACAGAGCAAUGGACUGACUAAACUUAUAGCUUGCUGGUGGGUUACUUGGGAGGUCAGAAACAAUAUGAUCUUUCGAAGGACUCCGACGAACCCACUAUUAGCCAUCAGCAAAAUCAAGCAGUUAAAGUACAUGUGGGGGCAAAUUAUCUCAUCAAAGCAAUCAUUUUAUUUUAUUUUAUUUUAUUUUAUUUAUUUAGUUUUUUUUUUUUUUUUUUUUUACUCACCUUGCUUGAGACCUACUGUUGCCUCACCCUUGUAGUCUAAUUCAUACUUCUACUGAAUGAAACGGGUAGCGUGCUAUCUUUAUCUCAAAAAAGAAAAUAGUCUCUUGCAAAGCUAUUUCUCUAUAAGCUACAAAAUCAUUAAAACAAUAAGGUUUCACCCCUUGUCUCAUAUUGCAUAAGAAUAAUUAAUACAUUACUUUAAAAUCACAACAGUUGGCUAUAUAUAAAGCCUAUAAUUAAUAUAUGUUUAAUUUACCUAGCUAGUUUGUAUACUCUUAAAAUAAGUUCUUAGUCUAAGUAGGUAUUUAGAAUGGUCUUACUUGGGCAUGUACAACUUGGCAACAGCUCUCAAGUAGUCUUAAUGUUGUACUGAUCCUCUUCUGAGGAGUCGGGGCCAGCCGGCCGGAAUCCGUUUGGCGCCAGGAACUGCAACCGCCCAUCGGACCGAAAGGCCAUGCACGAGUCCCGCGCGCUCAUCCGGAAAAGAAAAAAAAAAAAAAACUUAGAUAGACAAGAAAAUGCCAAAUAUAAUCUGCAUUUCGCGACGAAUCUCUUAAUGAUUUUAAUAAAAUUUUGCUUAAGAUUUUCUGGGUCCGCUAAAGUUUAUUGAUAUCAUAAUCUCUUUGAUGUUUCUAGUCAAAAAUCUGAGCUGGUGGAUGGUCCCAUAACAUGGAUCUUCGAUUCUUUAUUAACACAAUUGUUGUGGUCCCCUUUGUGUUGAGAUAUUGAUUAAGGGACGUGAUCUUUGUAAAUUACAUAGCUUGCAUAUCAGUGCAUUAGAAGGCAUAAAGCCCCGUAUUGCCGCUCGAUUUGAAUGUAAUUAGAAAUACAAUAUAGUGGGAGAUGUAGCAGUCACAACUACGUACAUAUCUAGUUUGGUUGGAUGUAGAAAAAAGCACUUCGUUAGUUGCACAUAAUUGAUUGAGAAAGUGUAUUCCAAAGUUUUGUCAUAUAUAUAUAUAUAUAUAUAUGGUGGUGAGAUUAUCUUUAGUGUAGAAAAAAAAAAAUUCUUUGUUUAAAAAAUGAUAAGGCUGGUAAGCUUACCUUUUGGAUAAAAUUACUCUUUCUAAUUGCUGUACUUGGAACUGCACGCAACUAAUUGUGGGUAGUUUCAACUACAGUAGUUGGUCCCAAACGCAUCAAAUCAAGUAUCGGAUUUGAAUUUGCAUUUACUUUUGUAGCGUAAUUCAACUACAUAUAUACAACCAAACAAUCCCAAACUAAAUAGUGAAAUUCUCAUUCCAAGGAUGGUUUCUCUACCAACUAUCAUUUGGAUAGAGGAGUAUGUAAUACAUGUUAAGAUCAUAUGGACAAUUUUCAAUGAGAUUAUUCUUAUGGUAAUGUAGUAUCAGAGCAUGUUUUAAGCCUCCUUUGUUUCGAGGGAUUUUGAGUUCAAUUAUACGGUUUAAUUCAACUAACUUUUACUACCCUUGCGACCGAAGGUAUUGGCCAUUUUUUGAGAGCAUUCUUUAUUAGAAAGAUUUUUUUGGGUAAUAAUCAUGAGCAAUGCUAUCCAUACACUUUAUAACUAGAGUGCAAAGAUUAUAUUAUUCACUCACUUAUCUUAUCAGAUUUUUUUUAAUUAAACUAAAAUCUCAAAGGGGUUUAUCAACCCUUCGAUCAACGGUAUAAAAUAUGUACCCUUAUAAGGAGUGUACAUGUAGCAUUUCUCAAUAAUAACCAUUUUAAAUGUCGAGGCACCCUCAACUAUAGUCCAUUGUUAAGUAAUGGGGCCUACGUACAGUUGAGGGGGUCUAGUACAUUUUUACUUUAUUUCUUAAAAUAAAAAAUGAAGCUAUUUCAUUAUUUUGUUGUGUAUAAAAUUACUUAAAAAUCGAAUGACAGUUGUAACUUAAAUUAUGUAAUCACUGAAAACCAUUGAAGAACAAUAAAAGGAGAGAGACAACCCGAUCAAUAAUAAUCAUUGGUAUUACUAAAGUUGAAUGAAAAUGAUAUUUGCUUUCUCAAAAAAUAAAAUGGAUUGAGAAUGGGAGCCAAUCUCUUAAAAUAGUUGCAUAGGUAUUAGGUAGAUAUUGCUAGAAAUUUCAUAUUUUAAUUUCUUUUUUUGAAGAUACACUACAACAGAAUUAGAUUAUAGGGACACAUAUUUGGGACACUUUUGAGUAAGUGUCCCAUUUAUGCUAAAACUUAAAAAAAACAUCUACUUAUGCCUAAAUAUAAAGCUCAAUCCAACCAAAAAUAAAAGAUUACUCUACUCAACCCACCACACCGUCCAUUGGACCCGAUUACAAACAGAAAAAAAAAAAGAAAAAUCAAUUACCAUCUUUUCUUCUCUCUUCACUCAAUCCACUGAAAUUCUAGACGAAGAGCCUUUCCUGUCGUCCUCCUCUGCCACCGCAGCCAACGAGAUAGAGUUUCGGCGGUUGCUAAAUGCUUAAAUAAGUGUUGGUAAAUUAGCAGCAAUCUUUUAGAUUAUAGCGACACACUUUAACUGUCACUAUAUACCUAGCGACCCCACAUAUAGCAACACUUUUUAAAAGUGUCGGUAAUUUUAGCUAGCAGUACUUUUUUGCAUGUACCUACAUUUAAAAGUGUCGCUAUAGACCGCUUUUGUUGUAGUGAUAUUGCUUAUAUUUCUUAGUGUAUGUUUCUCAUAUCUGUAGCAAUUAUAAAGUAAAUUACUGAGGAAUUUAAUUCCACAUUAUGCUAUUACUCUUACCAAGAAAUUUUUGCAUUGCAUUUUCCUCUCUCGCCAACUAUUGAAAAACAAAAGUGUUAAAAAUCUAUUUGCUUUACUAUAGUAGAAGUAUUAACUACAUGAGCUUCAUGGUACUUGAUCAUAUCGAUUAUAUGUGCAGUGAUUUGAUUCAAUGAAUUUAUUAUAGUAUUAUUUUUCUAACUUAAUAAUUGUGAUAAUAUACUUUAUACAUUUAGCUAUAUAUAUAUAUAUAUAUUAGAACUAUGAUUAGGAGUAUUAAUCAUGUGGAUCUAUAUAAUUAUGUAUCUUAAUUAACUUGUUUUGCAAGAUAAACAACGAGAUUUUUUUGGGAAAAAAAAAGUACAUGCAAUAAUCAGAACCACCAAUUAUGAUGGAGCCUUGUGGUGCUCUUUCUAGCCAACCAGGCAACUUAUUUUAAUCCGAUCCCUGCACACAAAUCUCAAUGCAACAACCAUAUGAUAAAUCAAAAUAAUAAUAAUAAUAAUAAUAAUAACAACAAUAAUGACAGCGAGAUCCAUCCUUUGAGUUGCAUCGUUGUCUUUCAAUGUUGGAUUUUACUUCGCGGUACUUUAAUAUUUGAAAACAAUAAAAUCUAAUAGUAGAUAAGAAUAUAUCUGAUAGAUAUGAAUGUCUCUAAAAAGACAUGUCUGAUAAAAUUUUUGACGACAAAUUUCUAUUUUAGUACACUACAAGUAUUUAGGAGUUCAUCACAUUCUUAUAAUCAAUCCCAUGUAUAAAAAGGAAGUGUUUUGAUAAAUAUAUAUGUAGCUUUGGUAAAUUGUACUGUGACAGCUAAAUUGUACUAUGACAGGCUAAGUAGUCACUAUGGCUAAAAUCUUCAUAGUACUUCAUUGGUGCUUUGAGAAUCAUAAUUUUCAUUUUCUUCCUUAAGACCAUUUCAAAUUAAUAAGUAAUUCAAAAGUAUAUAAAAAGACUCAAAAAAAAAAUGAUUAAUUGGAUUUUUGCGGCUAUGUUGUCAACUUUUGCCAACUUCUUUGAAAAUCUUUAAUACAAUUCCUAAUUUCCACAAAUCCUCGAGAAAUAAAAAACAAAACAACAAUAAAUAAUACUAAUUGACGCGAUCUCGAUAAUAUAUCUUGUAAUCUUAUUAGUCAUAUCUCAGGCUCUGCUAACUAAGGAAGAGAAUUAUAAGGAGAACAUUCUCCUCCUUAGCUCAAAAGGAGCUUUAAGGGACAAAUUGUAGCUUUUGGUAUGCAAAAUCAAGUAUUUCUCAAAGACCAAAGAAGCCAUUAAUAAACCAACCUGUGGUGUUUAUAAUAAUGAUAUUUCCAAGUGAUGAAUCAUGAGACCAGUACUAAUGUGCACAUAAAAAUUUGUUUGUUAUAUAUAUAUAUAUAUAUAUAUAUAGAGAGAGGGAGAGAGAGAGAGAGAGAGAGAGAGAGAGAGAGAGACUUAAAAUUCCAAUGCCCAUCAAGCUGUAGAUUAUAGGGAACAGUGGUUAGUUGUGCAGCCUCCAUGGGGGGCAAGGAUUAGAAUCCAUGAUCUCUUUGUCCUUUUUAGCCUCUUUCAUAUCUCAUGAACUAUGUCUAGAACCACUUCCCACGAUCUCUCUCUCUCUCUCUCUCUCUCCUUUCAAGAGUAGUACUCUACAUAACCUAGAAGAUACCAUAAAUACAGUUUUACAUACAAAAUAUUUAUAAAACAUAGUUGAUAAAUCAUCUCUGUUUAUAUCAUAGCUAAUCACUAGUUUAUUCUUUCAUAUUCCUCACCGUUCAGUUAACCGUUAACACAUAAUUUAAAAUUUUAUUAAUUAUAUAAUAAUUUUGUCAUCUUUUUCUAUAUGAAAUUACCAAAAUAUUUUUAAUAUGACCUUAAAUGUCCAACCUUAUAUAUCAGUAUGAAAUCGUUUUGCUACUAAUAAUAGUUGUGAAAUUUUCCGUAGCCAUGAAAAACUCCCUUCAUAAGCUAAAUAUCAGAAUUAAAAGUUAUCAACAAAGUAUCACGUAUAUAAAAUUGAUUUAUACUCUUAGCAAUUUUUUGUUGUUGUUGUUGUUUUUUUUUAAACAAUAAGGACAAAAUUUUCUCCAAGAGAUAAUUUAAUUCAAUACACAUGAACAAUCACUUCCCACGUCCUACCAACUUCUUGUUGCACUUUGCACCUCUUACUGACACGUACGCUCCCAAACCCUUCAAUAAUUCCUCUCCAUUCCAAUCCUAAUCAUGAGCUUAUCACACUUCAAUCAUUUCUCUUGGACUCAUUACACUAAAUUACUCAUUUGUCCCCUGUGAUUGCCUCAUGAGCAAAAUCUCAGAUCACUUUUCUCCCCCCCCCCCCCCCUAAUUUUUAAUUUAGUUUUUGGGAAUAACCCAUUUCUUUAAUUCCAAUCACUAUCCUGUUUCAAAACCCUUUGGCUUAGUUGUGUUCUCCCCACAAGAAUUGACAAAAAAAUUAAAAAAAGGACAUCAUUUUGUGCCAGGGAGUUAAAAAUUCCCUGAUGAUGGAAAAUUCUUUGUGAGCUGCAAUAUAAAUACUACCACAUAACUGUGCAAUGCUUAGCAAAUCAUUCAAAGCAUUGCAUCAUUCCACUAGUCCUUUUCCUCUCCACGUUUUUGUUUCGAUAUCGGAUUCUCAGCGAAGAGAUGGAGAACGAAGGACUGGCGUUGGAGGCGACCUGGAGCUCCUUCGAGGAGUCGGAGAUAAUGGCGCAGCUUCUCGGCGGAGCCGUCGCGACCAACUACUUCCCCGGUGAUCAAGAACAAGAGCCCACCAAUGGAAUGCACCUCAUGUUUUGGCCUAACUAUGAUUCUGAUUCCAAUUUCUCCUCUCCCACAGAUGUUAACUACAACUCAUUCCAUUGGCCUCAAUCCAUUUCCACUCCUUGUAUCAGCACAAGCACUGGUAGUUUCCUUCUUUCAAAUCCAUGCUAUGGAGGAGGAUGCUAUUUAGGAGACACCAACUUAGUUCCACACAACACAACUUCAUCUUUCGAUGUAGAUUUUAACCGUCGAUACUGCGACCUUCCUUCGAUGACUGAGGAAGCAUGCGAUGACAAUGAGUUAGGGUUGUCGAUCGCGAACCAAAUGAGGCCCGCUGUUUUUGCUGAUGAGCCCUCGCACGCCGCCAAGCGGAAGUUUGGUUUGGGUGAUAAUGAGAAGCCCAUUGAGGAUGUGAAGGAUGAUGAUACUUCCUCUUUGGUUCCUAGAAAGAAGGCCAGGGUCACUAUGGGGGUAAGUCUCAAGGAUUAUAUUUAUAAAUGCGGGUCUUUUUCUGCAUAAAAAAUCCAUCCUUUUUUGUAAUUUUGCAUUUUUUUUUGUUUAAAAUCUUUCCUUUUAUGGACUUGAAUGCCUCCGACAUGCAAGAACAGCAAAUAAAUUUUAGUCCAAAGUUGCAAAGACCUAGGAAAAAAAAAAGUGGAUCGAAGUAACAAAAUCUAAAAAAGGAUGGGUGUUUUAAUGCAAAAUAGUCAUGGAUAUAUGUUUUUUCUUUCACAAUUCUGAUCAAAGAAUGUAUCAAUACAGGCGCAGGAAAGGAAUAAGAAUGCAGAUACCAAGAAGCCCCUGAAAAAUGAGGAAAAUGGCAAUGCCGACUUUCAUGGACAGAGCUCGAGUUCGUGCAGCUCGGAGGACGAUUCGAGCGGAUCGCAGGAACAGAUGGAGGGAGGAGGCAACACGAGCUCAAGAUCGAAAAAGUCUGAAACUACUAGCGUUACCGGAAAGACGAGAGCCGGUCGUGGGUCGGCAACCGAUCCUCAAAGCCUUUAUGCAAGGGUAAGUCAUUCAUAAAAAUGCCGAAAGCAUUCGAAAUCACUCUUCUGGUGUUUCACAUUGCUGACUUUUUUGCUGAACCUUGUAUUGCUUCAACAGAAGAGGAGAGAGAGGAUCAAUGAGAGAUUGAGGAUCCUACAAAACCUGGUUCCUAAUGGAACAAAAGUAAGGAAGAUGAAAAUAUCUUUAGUUAGUCACUAAUUUGAUUGUCAAUGAAGAGAAAUUUGAUAAUUAACAAUUCAACUAUAAUUUGAACAGGUUGAUAUUAGCACAAUGCUUGAAGAAGCUGUUCAGUAUGUCAAAUUCUUGCAGCUUCAAAUCAAGGUAAAAAUUCAAAUCAAACACUUCUUAGCUAAUUCAUAAACAUGACAAAGGAAGGAUUUCCCCAUAUAUACAUGCCCCUCAAAUUACAUGUAUUUGCUUAUGAAAGUGCAAAUACAUACUUUUUGAGACCCAUACACACAAACAGAUAAAUUUGCAGGGUUAUAUAUUCAAAAAAAUUCCCUAAAAAACAAGAUGAACACAAAUGACUUGACUACCAACCAUAAGCCUGUAAAAUACAAAGAUAGCAUUUUCUAUUUUUAUGUAUAACUUAUUUAAAAUAUUUAAUUUGUUUAGUAACUGUUUUUUUCUUAUAUACAUAUGCAGCUUUUGAGUUCAGAUGAAUUGUGGAUGUAUGCACCUCUUGCUUACAAUGGAAUAUGCAUAAGCCCUGAUCUCAAGAUCUCUCCCCCACAACUCUAAUUUGAAAAGGGGGUUGACUCAGAGAUCAUAUUCCACACCCAAAGGGAAAUCUGUCGAAAUUACGAUUCAUACCAUCUUCAAUUUGUACUUAAAUUUUUUAAAUUUUUAUGACUUUUCCUAAUAAGUCAUCUGAGGAAUUAAUCAAACUCUAAUUCGAUUCAAGCUGUAAUGAAAGUCUUUUUUCUUUACCUUGGAACAGUGUAAAGGAUGUAAUUAAAUGAGAAGGUAAAGUUCAUAAAAUUAGUUAUACAAUUCUUAAAAGCUCUUCUACUAUCUAACAUUUGCUUAGCAAUGCUUUUUUGGUGGUUUACAGUUUGAAAAAUGGGUUCUAAUCAUUUUUUCAUGUUGAUCUGUUAUUAAUUGCCUUUUCCCUCAAAAAAAAAAAAUGAUCAACUUAAAAAGGACAUUUAUAAGCAUACCAUGACACAAACCCUGCUCAAAACCACGGCCGAAUAUAUGUACCUUAAAGUUAGGAGUAUUCAAUCUAUGUAAGAUCUGAGUUCUACUAUCUUUUCCGAAGGGGGUCAACUACAAAUUUAGUACUUGAAAUUUAAUUCAGAUUUUAAUUCAAUCCUCAAAUUUUCAAUUACAGUAAUACAGGAAUCAAAUUGGUUAACACAACUAUUAUGUGUUUUGUUGUUGAUCCAACAAUUCGAUAUAACUGAAAUAGUUGUGAAACUUUAGGAACUAAAUCGUAAUUAAUACGAAUUGAAGUGCUAGAUUUACAAAUUGAAUUAACUACAAAUUUGCACUCAAGUUUUGAUGUGGAAAUUAAUUACAUCAUUGGUGCCAAGUCACCGAACAUUGAAUAUGCUGUGACAUGGAAUACUAUUCAAUUAAUGUUAAUAAAGGCGGAUCCUCAUAUUGCUAAAAAUUGAAACUUUGAGGACAUAAUUGAAAUUGGGAUCAUAAUUUAGGGCCUCAAAUUACAAAUAAUAUCUGUUUUGCUUGGCUUUAAAAUCUGAUAUAGCUUUCACCACGAAGGCAAUAUCCUUAAUUGUUGAUAAGCAAAAACAAGCUCAUAGCUUUUCCAUGGAGGGAACAUAAAACGUGUUUUAGGCCCAAAAGCAAUGAAAAAGCAUGCUCUCGAUCAACAUUUUUGCCUAACCGUGUUAGAUAGCUCUCAAUACCAAACGAGCUCUAAACUUAAAAGGAUAAGUUUGCUAAUACAUCUUUAGAAAGAGUAAUACAUAAAUACUAUUUUGGAGUCAUUUAUAUGAUAUAUCUCAUGCUUAACAUGAGAUGCCAACUUUAAAAUUUGGCACGGUUGUUGAUUGUGUAGCAGUGAAAUAUACAACAGCAGUUGCAAGAACUUCAUUUGAUACUUGAUACAAGAUUCUAAUCCAUUAUAACCGUCUUUUUUUUUUUCUCUCCUUAAAUGUUGAUCUACUUAUAAGGACUAAAUGGUUUAAGCUUCAAAUACCCAUCCAGAUCCCAUUAUAAUGCAUCUGACAUUGACUUACCUAUAUAAAAAGUUAUCAACAAACCUUUUGUUCACACCUAUUGAUUUAGAUAGGUUGGCAAGUUUGUUUUGGAGAUUGCUAACCCUAGUUCACACUUUCCUACAAAGGGAAAAAAAUUAAUUCACUCAAAUUUCUAUUGACAAGUAUCCCUUUCUUUGAUCAGAAUAAACUAAUAACCUACUUUAUGAGAGAUCACAUAGUUUGGAAGUUGAAAUCUUGGAUCUCAUAGUUUAGAGCUAUUGGCUCUAUAUAAUUAACUUCUUGAGAUUUAUGUGAUAUGUCCCAUAUGUUGAUGCUCUUUGUUAAGCACUUGUUUCUUGCCCAUGGACUCACAAGAAUUGAAGUGUUCAUUCUCCAAUCCAUACAAAUAUAUAAAUUGGCGGUUUUCUAGAAACACGUGGCAAUAUAUCUAGCCUCCACGUUUUUCUCUAUUUGAUGGCGGUAUUUUUUAUUUUGAAUUUCAUGAUUACCUUAUCUAGGUAAAGUAUCAAAUUUGAAUUUCAUAAUUACACCUCGGAAAGAUACUAAGUCUUCCCAAAUCCACCUCGGGAAGGUACCAAAUUUAUCCAAAUCUUUUCCGACAAAAUCCUCAUUUCCUUACCUCCAGAAAGGACAAAAUCUUCACCUUGAUUCAGGUGUGGUUUCUUAGAUACACGUGCCAGUAUUUCUAGCCUCCACGUUUUUCUCUUUUUAAUGGCAGUAUUUUUUAUUUUGAAUUUCAUAAUUACCUUAUCUCAGUAAAGUACCAAAUCUGGAUUUCAUGAUUACACCUCAGGAAGGUACCAAAUCUUCCCAAAACUAUCUCGGAAAGGUAUCAAAUCUAUCCAAAUCUUUUCCAACAAAAUCCUCAUUCCCUCACCUCAGGAAGAGACAAAAUCCUCACCUUGAUUCGAGUGUGUAUAUAGAAGAACGUGUACUUUUGAGGUUGGAACCUUGAAAAAUUUUUCGAAUUGCUUCUUCUUCCUCUCUCCCUCAUGCACUAAACUUUACCUUUCUUUACAUUGAGCUUUACAUUUCUUUUGUAUUUUUUGCUGGAUCUCUGAGAGCUACUUAGGUUCGUGUUGCACCACCCUAAAGACGUGCCGAUGGGUGGAAGGUGGUCAUUGUAUCGCUAGGAGUGAUUGCUGGAGCCUCGCACGUAGGGGGCCAAUCUCGCUUCUAGGACAGUGCUUUCGCACCUCGACUCGCAGGCCUCAUCUAAACCUCUUUUCUCUAUAAUAUUUUCUACUUAAUCCAUCUUUAUAAUUUUUUGAAAACAAAAAUUAAAAUUAUUUUCUUUUAGAAUUGUUUAAAAAGUAAAUUAUUCAAGCUAAUAUAUGUUUGCAUAUUACAUAAUUACAUAUUUUGUUGUCAAUCCAAAUUAUUUAUAUAUAUAUUAAAAUAAUUAAUAAUCAUUCAAGUUAAAUAUAUGUUUUGUAUAGUUCAUAAUUACAGAUUUUGUUGUCAUUCCAUGUUAUUUUUGCAUGGCAAAUCAUUCUUGGCUACUAUUGUUUUGCCUCCUCUUACAUACAUAUGUGUUGAUAUUUUAAUUUUGUUAUUUUCCUCCUUUUUCGUAAUUAUUAUAUAUUAAAAUUCACAUUAAAAUAUUAGUGUUAAAAACUCUCUGCGGCGAAGCGCAGGUUCAACACUAGUAUCAAUAUAAAUUUGAAGCUUGAGAAACAAUAAGAGUACCCAAAGGAUGAUUUAACAGAGUAUUACUAGGAGGUUCAAAACUUCCAAUUUCAAUAUGAACUUGUUGAUAAUCCUUCUAUCUUUCUUCCGUGUGCAAAUUCUAUGCUUGUACCUCUAAACAUAUGUGCAAAUUUCAUUGAGAACAAGAACAGAGAGAAACCUGAUCUAGGCCCUUAAUAGAUUUAAACUUCAAAUUGCACCUUCGAUAUUGGCAAUAUCUAGUUGACGAGCUCCAAAAGCUGAGUUGCCAAGCUUGAUUUAUUCCUUUUUUGGCAUGAUGAGAAACUUCUGGGCUCACACAUUUCCAUGCCGCAUCACUAUCAUGCAUUCAACUCUUCUAAUCAUCUCUUUUUCAUAGUGUAUAUUUUUCUCAGCAUGAUGACAUUCAGUGAAGAAGAACAAGAAUUCAGUCUGAAGAAACGAGAGAAGGAGAUUUAGAUGGGUAAGGUAUAUUUAUCUAAUUUCAAAAUUAACUGUUCAACAUGAAAUCAUCUUUGCCAAAAAAGAAAAAAGAAAAAAACAUUGUUUGCUAGCCCAAGGUCAAUUCUCUCCUUUUUUAAAACUAUUGCAAGAAAAUUUCUAGAAGGUUUUCAUUUGGCAACUGUACAGUUGAAAUUAAGCAAUGGAGAAGGAUAAGCUCGUGGCUUUCAACAAAUACAAUAGACAGAAGGAGAAUCAGAAAAAUCUGCCAAGAGUUACCACAGAGUGCUGGAAAUUCACGUGAUUACGCCUCAUAGUCAGAUGCUAAGGACACAAAAUAUAAGCUUUAUAACAAAAAUUAAAAUGAAUCUAAAAAGAGAGGGCUUAAAAGGAAAACACAUAAGUGCCUUCCUUCUUACCUGAGUAAGAAACUGAUGAUAAUUGAUGUCAGAUUCUUUGCGGUUAUCCAAAUACCGAUGGUAGCUCUUCAAUGUUUUAAGCUACCGAUGUAGGGUUAAUUUUGACCUUAUACGCCUGCAGCAAAUGAUGAAACAUCAAAAUCUCUAAAAAUAGUUUCAAAUUUUAGUGUCUGUUAAAAUAGCACCAUAAAUUACCAGAGAUUACCUUUAAACCCUAGUAAAUGUAUUCAUUCCAGCAUGAUUAAAAAUCAUGAUCAGCAACAUCCAUUGUUGAAGUAAGUCCCAGUUUCUGAUCUUUGGGCUUGAUGCUCAUCAUCGGAUGUAUAUUGCACUAGAACAAGUUUUGUGUAAAUUGGUUUUCACCAAAAGUUCCCACAUGAACAUUCUCCAUCCUUGAAAUGGUGAAACCGUUUAGCGUCUCUAACAACUAUCUCUCUCCCGAUGGCCUUCGACAUAAACAUGAUCGCAGUAUGGCAAUCGCCGCAGAUUCUCAAAUUCUUAAGGACUCUUACAGUAGCUCCAUGAGGCAGCUUUAAAAGCCCAAAUGCAACCGCCAACUUCUCGCUAUGUGUAGAUAAUACAUACUCCUUUUGCUGAGGCUCCAUGUCAUGCAACACAAACUUAGUAUCCGGGACAUAACCCAACUUUCUCAUCUUAACACCGAGUAUAUCAAGGAAUUGGUAUACUAGCUGUACUUCAGGAUGCGUUGUAUCAUUAACAAGGAACACAUGCACUUUAUUAGAAAUCUCAAUCCAGCUGCAUCCAGGUUCCUUCUUCACCCCGCGAUCCUUCAUCAAUUUCCUAACCCUAGCGGCAUCUUCCCACCGCCCGACAGCCGAAUAAAUGUUACACAAAAGAAUAUAUGUUCCAUCAUGAUGCGGUAUCAUCUCGAAUAGCUUUUCCGCCGCAUAAAUACCAAGAUCCAUAUCUCCAUGAAUUCGACAACCGGCUAGAAUGGCCUCCCAAAUGGCUGACGUAGGCUCGAAAGGCAUCGAUUUUAUAACAUCCUUAGCUUCCGCAAUCCGCCCUGCUCGGCCUAACAGAUCGAUCAAUCGAGCAUAAUGAUCUUCCCCAGGGGUAAUACCAUAAUCUCGCUCCAUUGACUCGAAAUACCGAAUCCCUUCAUCCACCAACCCCGCAUGAUUGCAUGCUGAUAAGAUGGUGAGAAAAGUGAUACGAUCAGGGCAUAAACCCUCCGCGAUCAUCUGGUCAUAGAGCUCUACUGCUUCUGAUCCAUGCCCAUGCUGCCCUAGGGCAGCGAUCAUCGCGUUCCACGAGAUAGAAUCCACAUUGGGCAUUACAACAAAUACCAAGUGAGCCAGUUCCACGGCUCCGCAUUUCGCAUACAUUGUCAAUAGAGAGUUGCCUGCUGAGUUGCUCGACUCAAAACCAAUUUGGAUGAGCUGCGCAUGAAGCUGUUUGCCAUUUUGUAAUGCUCCGACCUCACCACACGCAGCAAUUGCACCCGCGAAGGUGUAGUCGCAUGGCUUGAGAUUGCCGUCCCUCAUCUGACUGAACAACCUCAAUGCUUCUUCUGGAAGCCCAUUUUGAACCAAUCCCGAAAUCAUCACCAUCCAAGUUAACUGACUCUUUUGCGGCAUCUGUUUAAAUAUCUCGAGCGCAUCAUCAACUCGGCCACAAUUGACGUACCCCGACAAGAUAGCAUUCCAUGAGACGGGAUCCUUCAAUCGAAUCUCAUCAAAGAUCCUUCUUGCAGUAUCCACCUUUGCGCAUUUAGAAUACAAUGUGACCAACACGUUCUUAACCGGUAACGCCGAUUCAGGAUCGAAAUCUGGCCCAGAACGGACGACAUGAGCAUGAACUGCUUUCCCGUGAAGAAGAAGUCCCGCAUUGGCGCAGGCGCUGAGCACGCUGGUGUACGUGAACUCGUCGAGCGGUAUCUGCUUCGAGAGCAUCUCUCUAAACAACUCGAACGCCUCCGAGACCAUCCCAGACUGCACGUACCCGGAAAUCAUCGCAUUCCAGACAACAUCGAACCGCCCGUCCAUGGCAUCAAAGACGCGCCUCGCUUCAUCCACACUGCCGAUUCUUACGUACCCGACGACCACGGUGGUCCAGGUGAGCUCGUCUCUCUCGGGCAUUUGGUCGAACACCUGGCGGGCGGGGACGGGGGACCCGCAGCGCAUGUAGAGGGCGACGAGGGCGUUGGAGACGGACACGGCGCGGGCGGCUCCGGACUUGACGGCGGCGCAGUGGAGCUGGCGGCAGUGGGCGGGGGCGGCGUCGGCGGGGGCGGGGGCGAUGGCGCUGAGGGCGGCGGUGAAGGUGUAGGCGUCGGGGCGGAAGCCGUCGCGGAGCAUGGAGCGGAGGACGGCUGCGGCGGCGGCGGCGUCGGGGGCGCGGGAGAGGGCGGAGAUGAGGGCGUUGUAGAGGACGGGGUCGCGGGCGCGGAGGGGGGUGGAGGCGAAGAUGCGGAGGGCGAGGUCGAGGCGGCGGGAGGCGGCGAAGGCGGAGAGGAGGGAGGUGGCGGAGAAGGGGUUGGGAGGGGAGGAGAGGAAGAGGCGGUGGGCGGAGGGGAGGUCGCGGGAGAGGGAGUAGAGGUGGAGGAGGCGGUUGAGGAGGUGGGAGCGGGGGCGGAGGCCGGAGACGAGGAGGUGGGCGUGGAGGGAGCGGAGGGGGCGGAGGAGGACGCGGGGGAGGGUGGAGAGGCGGUGGAGGAGGGCCGCGUAGUGCUGGGCGAGCUCGGAGGCGCCGACGGGGUGGUGGGCCCGGAGAAGGGGUUGUGGCGCGAGAGGGGGGCAUGAUGGCAUUUUCUCCUCCGCCUCUCUUUUCUUUUCCCUCCGGAACUCGGGAGUUUCAAAAUUAUAUUUUAAAGGGCUUUUUUUUACAAAUGGCCCCCCUGAAAAAAUUUUAUUUUAAACUAACCCCAACAAUUUAUAAUUACAAAAAUAGCUCUAUUCCUGCCACGCAAGUGCCACGUGGGCGAACCCGAACCCGAAAAUCAAAUUAAAACUCGAACCCGGAUCCGAAUCUGGUGGGUUUUAAAAAUUCAUACCCAACCAAAAAUCCGAAAUCCGAAUCCGGACCCGAAACCGGCGGGUUUUAAAAAUUCAUACCGUUGGAUGAAAAUCUAAGAGAUAAAAAUUAUUAAAUAUUUCAUAUAUUGUAUAGAUAAAUAAAAAUAAAUUAUGUAUAUAAAUAAUUUAUUCGGGUUUGGCUUCGGAUAAUAUUUCGUGUAUCCAUACCCAUUGACAUCCCUACUUCCUAUUCCUCUUUUUAAUUUAAUAUUUAUAUUGCGAAAAAUAUAUAUAUUUGUAUUUUUUCUAGAUACGGUAAAUCAUUUAUCGUGUUUGGACACGGUGAAUGGUUCACCGUGUUUAACUUAGCACCCUAGCCCAGCCCCACUCGCGUGGCGUUAACGGCAUCUACAUGGUAGGGUCAGGAACAAAAGUACAAAUAUAAAUUUACUGGGUCUAUUUUAAAAAUAAAUUUUUUCUAGGAGGCUAGAUGCAAAAAAAGCCCUAUUUUAAAUGUAAAAUUGUAUGGAGGCCCGAUCAACUGUAUACAAUUGUUUUUUUUUUAUAUUAUAAUUCAACUGCGAGUCUGCCACCUCCUCAAGGCCUCAACCUCUGUUAGUUAUUUUAUUUGUCAAAAAAAUAAUUAAGCUAUUAAAUUCUGUAAAAUUGCCAAUAAAUGUGAUAAAAUUCUCAAACUUUUUUAAGUAAAAUCACUUAAUUUCAACACAUUAGAAGUUGAGGGGGCCUUACUCAGAAAACAGAAGUUUACAGGGGCUAUUUCAGAAUAGCCUGUAGUUGAAGAGGGGUGCUUCUCUAUACAUGUUUACCAAAUAUACAAAUUGAUAGCUCAAAUUGAUAUGCACUUCACACGGCUUGAAUUUAUCGUGAUAAUUUUUUGUAUAAUAUUUCCUACUUAUUGAGUUGCAGAAAAACAUAAAGGCAUUUUGCCGUUGAUAAAUGAUGAUAUCAUGUUGUGCAUAAAAAAAAAAAAAAAAAAAAAAAAAAAAAAAAAAAAAAAAAAAAAAAAAAAAAAAAAAAAAAUCUGCUCACGAACUUUAUGACAUGGUGAUGCCAAUAGACUCGAGCAGAUCGAGCCUGGUAAAGCCUUAGUUCACAAAUUACGAGGUUCAAGAAAAUGCAAGCAGGAUCAGAUUUUUUCUGUUCCUUUGGUCGAGUUGGUCCAAGUUUUUGAAUUUAUUGUUUGAUCCAACCCGAUCAAUUUGGAUCGAGUUUGGAUAUGGACAUAUACCGGGUUUUGCUUAAGUCUGUUUGCCAAUUUCAGUACAUGGAGCAGUUUCACGAUCAAUGAACAUCUUUCCAAGUUCAAGAACCAGAGUCAAAGUUCCAAUUUUGUAUUUAAGUUGCAAAGAUCUGAAUUAACGAAUCAGCAUUAAAUAAUGAGACUAACUUGACACAACUUUACAUGUAGUUACAAUAUAUACUAAGGCGACAGAACAUACAAUGAACAUUGCCAAAGAUCACUAAGUUACAGACUUCUACACUAAGAUCAGAAUCAAUCUAAAACCUUCAGAAAAUAUCUGAAUUAUCAACUAUUCCUGCUCUUUCUCUUCAUCAGUCGCGCUCAUGCAUUCAAGGGCGAUGGCGGCACUUUCUACAUGCCUUAGAAGGACAGGGUAUAUCUUUUUCCUCACUCUCUCACACGCUUCAUUCUCUUCGUCUUCCCAUAAGCUGCUCUCUCUCCUUCUAUCAUUAAAGCAGCUCCGCUCCUUCUUUGAUAUGUCGUUCAGGAAGCCAUCUACUCUCUUCAGCUGACAUAGCAGACUAGCGACCUGGGACUUGCACGGAGCAUAGCUGCUUUUGCUCUCAACAGCAUCUAAAAACUUCUCGAUGUAUUUAAGAAACCAUCUGUUACAUUCGGUCCUCAGUGAAUUUGCCAAGUCUGUCGCUGCCGUUGAGCCUCGUCCCUCGCCAGAAAUAUUGCUGUUCUUUCUUUUUCUUUCCAUGCAAGAGCAUUUUGGCUUUUGACAACAAGUUAAAGGAACUAGAAAGUUAUCACUAGUCAGAGAUGACUCUUUUGGUUUAGAAGUAUCCUUCAUUUGGUAAGGGAAUUGUGAAAGAUCGGAGUCGAGGGUGGCUUUGAUCCAUGAGAAAGCACAUUCUUUUCUCCGGAAAGCAGCUUUAGCAGCAGCUUUGGCUGAAGCUAAGCCAGUUGAGUUGCAACUGCAAGCUCUAGAUUGUCUCGGCUUUGUUAUCGACUGAAUAAUUGAGAUAGCCUGAUCUAGGUCUUGAUGGAAUUUCAGAAACCUCUCAAUGACACUUCUUGGAUCCUCAUCUUUGUCCGAUUGUAGUUCUGCAUACACACUGAAAAUGGAAGAUAAAAAGAAAUGUUAUAAGACUGUUGCACACCUUAUUUGAUGUUCUUUAACGAAAACAUUCCUAAAAAACUGAAAAGAACCAAGUGAAGUUGUAUUCAUAUAUCCCUACUCAAAAAAAAAAGAAAAAAAGAAAUUGACUUCUUUCAUACCCUGUCCAAGAAUUAGUGGAGAAGUUGUCAUCUAGUCAUGUAAUGGAGAAUAGAAGCAGAAUUAAAUUUACUUCAGACCAGUAUGUAACUAAAAGAAUAGUAGCUAGAUUAGUGGAUAAGUCGUCAAGUAUUCUGAAUUUCGAUGAUUACAGAAAAUGUCAUACCCACGUGCUAAUAUCUAAUAUUUCAGAUAUGUUGGUGGAUCAUUGAUAUCCUAUAGUUAGAUUUUUAUGCCCGAACAAAGAAUGGUCCUUGAGUAAACAAGCCAUAAUAUAUUGGAAAAGUUAUUCUAGAAUCAAAAGAGGCCUUAUAACUAUCUUCAAAAGGCUAAAAACUUCUCAUAGAAGAAGUAUAAGUUCAGCAUAGUACUAAAUCAACUUACCUCAAGCAUUGAAUCAAUUUCUCUGAGGCAGAUGCCUCAAGCAAUGCAUUCAAAGCGGCUUGCAGAGCCGAAUCUCUUUGUCUUAAGGCCUCCUACAGGGCAAAUUGUCGGGAAAAAAAAUAGGUAAAAUGCGUAUAACAUCUUCGACAAUAAGCAGAGCGGCAAUUGUCUAGUACCUUCCCAAGCUUCACUAAUGUCAAAGGAAGCGAUGCCCAAACCACGCUAUUCUCUCGCAAUUUCAUGUUAUUUGUGAAAGAGAAAGGAUCAGCAGUGCAAGAGCUCUCCUUGGCCAUCCUAUUGGAAGCAUAAAGCGGCUUAUUGGAAUAACCACCCAGUACCUUGAAAGCCCUCUCAGCUUCUUUUUUGCUAACUAACAGGUCAUUCACAGCAUUAUUCUUGGAUGUGGCGGAACCAUAUUGAGCUAAUCUAUUUGGAGAAACCUAUCAUAUACACACAAAAGAAAAAAAAAAGAAAAAAAAGAAAAAAAAAGAGGAUGGAAUUAGAUAUUUCAGUAAAAUGUAAUCAGGUGAAUACGUAACAUACUCUAUUCAAUUAAUCUUUUGAAAGGUUCAAUGAUCUUUAAACUUUGAUUCGCUAAACUAGAAGGUUCGAAUUUUUAAAAUGUCUAAAUUUAGCCCUGCUGUGUCUAGCCCUUGCAUUGUCCAGAUAAAUAGAAUACUGAUGCGGCAUGCCAAGUCACUGUUCUUAAGCUUGUUAGUAGCCGUAAGUAAUAACAAUAAUGCAUUACUACUAUCAAAUAAGCUGAGAUUUAAAAUACAUUUGAAGGAAUUUAAUACGCAAAUUAGAGAGACUUUUGACACCCGUAACUUGGCGGAUAUAGAAUCAGCGACUUGACAUGAUAUGAUAGAUGAGUGAUGGAUGUUAACACGGAAAUUACAAUUGAAAAUUUUAUGAAGUUCGAGCUCAUCUGCCAAAUUGAAGCAAAAACUGAUAUUAUCAUCGCGUGUUUUCUAUUUUAAUAUAAAAAAUAUUUAAAUUAUGAUCAGAUAUAAUGCAUCUAGCUUCAGCAAUAUAAAAGAGAAAUAAAACUCACACUAGCACUCUGAGUGCGUAGGAGGGGCCUUCUCUCCUUGCUCCUUCCGGAAGCAUCCCAGCUUUUCCGCACGGUGGACAUGGGGGCACUCGCAACGCAGGUCGACGGAGAUCGAGAGGACGAGAAGGAAGACGAUGCGAAGGACAACCUCGACUCAUCAGAAUCGCUGCUCUCCUCCUCAUCGCCCACCCCGCAGGCGAUGCUGAUCUUCCUCAGCUCGCUCAACACGUCGGAGCUCCCCCUAUUGAUUCCCCUCCUCUUCGCCCUUCCAUUGUUCAUAGGCGAUGUCGCGGAAGAGGACACGAUCACCUCCUUGAUGUCGGAGGGGGAGUCGGGGGCGGCGGAGGGGACGAAGGGGAGGGGGCCGGGGAGGAGGCGGAAAUCGCGGAGAACGGGAGCGGCGGAGGGGGAGGAGGGAGAGGGGGGGUCGAGGCGGAGGAUGCGGAGGAGGUUGCCGAGGCGGAGGCGAUCGGAGAGGACGAGGUCGGAGUGGUCGGAGGGGAGGGAGACGAUGCAGGAGUGGGAGGAGUCGGAGAGGCGGAGGAGGAAGCCGCGGCGAGGGGAGAAGGGGUCGGGAUCGGGACCGGGGCCGGAGAGGGCAGGGGUGAUGCCGGUGACCUGGAGAAGCGGCGGAGAUGGAUCGGGACCGUCGGCGGCGGCGACGAAGGGGAUGGAGGUGCCGUGGAGGAGGCGGAGGAGGACGCCGGGUUGGAGAGGGGGGAUCGCCAUGGGGAGGGAGCUCCGAGCUCGCUAGGGUUUGGGGAAUUGGGAGGGAGGGGAAGGAGAUGGGGGAAGAGGAAGGGGAAUUUGAUUUUGACUUGUUCUUCGAAUGCGUCCGAGUAAGGUGGCGGGAAGAGCGGCAUUUGGCGGGGGAUGAAGGGUGGUUAAGACCGGAGAGGGAGGGGUCGGAGACGGUUGUGGGUACAACACUUGUCGGGAACGGGGAUGCUAAUGGAUCGGGUUUGAUAGAGCUAAUUUCUCGAUCCACCCGAAAGUGGCCCCAAAUUUGGAGGAAGAGGUGGAUACCCCUUCUUUCUCUUAACCUGUUCCGAUCCGUUAAAAUUUUUUCAAAAAACUUUCCUUUCGCUCUUUACCUGCUCCGAAAUUGUGAGACCCAGAUAGUUCUAUAUAUAAAUAUAUAGAACUGAAACUCUUAAUCAGAUUAUAAUAUUUUGGACGAUAAAAAAUUAAGAGAGUUAAGCAUGUUAAAAUUAGAGUAGUACUAGAACAGAUGAUCCUCUGAGAAAUGGAGCGUCACAGAAAUAUUCUGAAUGGAGCAUUAAAUGAAGAAAUAAAUAUGAUAAAAAUCUAGCUUAUUCUGAGUCCACCCGAUCCGCCGAAGGAACAGAGUAGGAAAUGUAAGAAGAGUCAAAGUGGAUAACUGUAAGAUUGACUGGAUCGAUCCAUUACGGUUCUAAUUUGAUCUGUGAGUGAGCUGUUUUUGACCGUAACUGCAAUUGUUAAUCAAGACGACAAAAACCAUUUAUUAAGGGGUUGGAUUGAUCCAUUAAUGGUGUUGUACGAGCUGAAGCACUUGAAUUGUUUCAAUAAACAUCAGUUCUUUUCAUAAGCUUUGCAGAACAUCAGUUAGUUCCAUUUUUUCUUCCAUUUCUGUGAUCAUGCAGAUAUGCCACCGCCUCAACAUGUAUAAAGUUUAUUUACUUCGCGUAAAUAAUUCGCACAGUAAGUUAGAUAUUAUGAGAAAUUUUGACUCUUGAAGAAACUAAAUACAUGCCUAAACUAAAAGGGACGUGUUCUGUUCUACAGCUGGUUUUGCUGAGAACAUCUUCUGCAAGAUCUCUACUGAACCAUGGUUUUCCAAAUAGUCUCGGAAAUUCUAAUUCAUGAAGCCAUUUUACUGUAAAAGUUUUGUACAGAUCCGCCAUUUUAAACAAAAGGGUAUGUAUUCUCAUAAUUGUGAAUUGCAGUACACUGUACACACUGAUUUCAAAGAGGGAUUGUAUUACUACAGUCGAGAAGGUAACGGCGAACACACAGAAUGAUUUGUCAUAAAUUAAAUAACCAACCCCAAGAUAUCAAGAAGAAACAGCUCGGACUCGAUACGACCUUGAAUUCGUUCAAAUUAAGGCUCUGACAAGGGGAUAAAUGCAGCAAAUUUGAGUCCAAAUCGGGAAUUUCGAAGAAAAGUUUCAUUUGUCUGUUAAUUACAUGUAACAGUGCUUACUGGGAAUCCAUCACUCCCGCUUUACAAUUCCUUCACUGGAAUUAUCAUUUACAAUAUUUUACAACAGUGGAGAAGUUGUACGAGUACACAAGUACACAACUAGACGCAGACGGAAACCGUUGUCAGAAGAGAGGAUGGCGCGGAUAAGCUCUUUGCUUCAAGCACUUUACUCACCAAAAGCUUCCACUUCACCUCAUCCUUCUUGUUCUGGUGCCUCAGUUUGUCCUUAAAAUGCCUGCACAAAAAGUCAUCUUAUUAUGCUUCCGAAUACUUAACCUAACAUCUAUACAUAUAUUACAAGAAAUAUUUCGACGUGUUUAAGUACCUAAUUUUUCCUAAACUUAUCCUAUGAAUUUUAGUUACGGACUGCUCAAGCACUUAAUAUUUAAUUUUAACAUACAAACAACUAGAAAAGGAGUAAUAUUCCUAUUGAAAUUUAUUAACCAGUAUAAUUUGUGGCUCGAAAAUGCACUAUUCAUCAUACGGCCCGCAAUUUAUCUACUAUUGGAAUAUGAUGCUAUACCUGCAAAGCGGGACCUUGCAGCUAUGUGCCUGCGAGCACAGGCGCGAGUGCAGCUCGAGCAGCUGCCACAUCCUUUUGCAGUGAGUGCAGCCUCCGAGAACUCGAUUUUUGCAGCCUGCAAAGUGGCGAACGAGCGCCUCCAAUCCUUUGCAGGCCGGGAAGUUGCAGGGGGCCGCGCUCCGCUUCAGAACCUUGUCAUGUGGUCCUAUUGUCCUGCACCCGUCCCUGCAUAUGUGGACGAGCGCCUCCAUUGCCUCAUUCAGCUGCAGAUAUAUCUUCCUCUCCUCCAACUUCUUUAGCUUCUCGUUCUUCCUCUGUCGACAUGCGGCAGCAAUGAUUUCAGAUAUUGAUUCAAUGCUUUUGCAGGUCAACUAUAAUCCUGUGCUCUUAAAUUCAAAAAAAACACUUUCGAAUCGACUCUAUUACUCCUCAAAAAGAAUCAAUUGUAAAAUUGAGUACUAAAUGGUUCUGCAAAUUAAAGAACUCACCGAGUCAGCGUCGAUGACCGACUCAAUUAGCUCCUUUUCGAGCCUGGGAUCACUCUGUCUCAUCACCUUCCACCCUUCUGACAAAGAGACCAACUUGAAGUUCUUCACGAUCGCGCGAUGGCAUAUGAGGGACAGGCGCGGGGCGUCGCAGAGCCGCGCGAGCUGAAAGAUAUCGACCACGUUCUCUGCGCUCAGCACACCCUUCUCCAACUGCCCCACACAUAGUUUCUUCAGCGAAGUGACGGCGAAGACGUGCGACAGAACCAGCAAGUGGAGUACAAAUUGGUUCAUUUCUUCUUGCUCAUAGCUGUAUAUAUAUAUAAAAAAAAAAAAUCGAAGCAAUUAGCUUGACCUGAAAUUCUAGUUCACUUUAUAUGUAGGGAGGGAGUGCGAUUUACCACGACGAGUAAAGGAAGCGGAGAAACACGCGAACCGCGUCGUGCGGUACGCCUCGAAUUGAGAUGGCUUUCCGACGGCCUUCUCGGCUUUUCUUCGACUGCUUCAGCAUGCUCUUUAUCACUGGAGAAGCCAUGCCCUAUUACAGACCAUUAUAAAUUGCUUGAAAAUGAGAGUCUGAUCCAGUGAACCAGUUUCUGAAACACCUGUUUCUGACGAAACCGGACUACGGCACAUUCCAGUACUCAAUCGAAAUCGCAACGGUUUGUACUUACGAGAAUGCUGGCGUGGACGGGAAUAACGCCGUCGUUGGUGCAGACGAAGGCGUCCGCCCCGUAGGCCUCGAAGAAUAGUCUGUCCCACAUUUCCCUCGCUGAUUCUGCCGCCAUGCAGCAGCUACAUGCAGCUGAUUGCUUGAUAGAAGUGCUGCAUCGUCUGGCCGUCAGAACCGGAAAUGGCGGGGCAGCUGGAGAGCACCAUUGGCUGUCGAGUUCGCGCCUUCGCUCCUCCAUUCUUUUCUUAAAGCUUACAGUUUGUUUCUAUGCAUCAAACAAAAGGCAAAAUACUGUUUGAAUAGAGCUAUUUAAAAAAAUAUAUAUAAAUAAAAUUCUCUCGAUGGCCUUUGAGCAUGAAAAAGCAGCCGAUUUUAUAGAUUCGAAAAUUUUAUUUCAGCUUUUAUACGAAAUUAAAAGUGAUUCAAAAUUGUCGGAAAAAAUUCGACAAAUUAAUGUGGUGCUCUAUUAAAUUUUAUAGAAAAUUUUGGACAGAAAAUGUAAAAAAGAAGAAGAAGAAGAAGAAAUACUCCAAACCUGCUUAUAUGAAUUUGAAUCCCUCCUUCGUUCUCUUAAUUAUUAUUACCAACUAAACAAAAGGGCUCCAAAAUAAAAAUGAAAGGAUUUAAUAGUAGGGAGAUAAUUUUAUCCUCCCCUUCUAUUCCAAUGGAGAAAUUAAGCUUUUUCCUUUUUCUUUUUCUUUUUUGACCCCUUAACCUCGUUGGCUCCUAGAGCUGGCACGCAUCUCAAAGCGGCGAGCCCAACGGUCAACCGCACGAUGGGUCGUUAGUUAUAACUAUUAACGGCCACUUCCAUCAAAGCGUGCGUUGGCUUUGGUUGGCUUCUUUCUAAGGUGAGGUAUGAGUUAUCCUAUAGAGAAUUUACUUUAUUUAAAAAAUUAGAUUUUAUUUUUCAAAAUUAGGAAUUAAAAUAUAACAAAUCUGAAAAUUCAGAAACCAAAACUUUCUUAUAAAAGGGAAAUGCUACUCGUACACUCGAAAAUAGAGUUUUAAAUAGAAAAACUAUAAAAUUUAUUUUCACUCUUGAAUGUAUAAAUAGCAUUUGCCCGCCUGAAUUUAGACCUUCAAAUAGCAUCAAGAUAUAUAAUUAGGAAUUAAAAUAUGGGACAGACUAUUCUUCGAGGGAGCAUUUAGCAUCUGAUGGUGGUAGGUGGUGGUAGGUGGUAGGUGGUGGUAGGUGGUGGUAUUAAUUACUAUUUCAUUCAUUUAGCAUAUUUAAGAUAUGAUAAAAUUUAAUUAGUUAAUUCUUAAUAUUUUCUUUAUUUAGUUUGUACAAUUAAAAUAUGAUAAAAAUUAAUUAAUCAAGUAUUAAUAUUUUUUUUUUACUUUAUAAUUUUAUUGUUGUAUUAUUAUAAUUUAUGUAUUAAAAAAAUAAUUUAGUUGUUUUAAAUUAAAUUUUAAUUAUAUAAAAAUAUAAUUAUAUUAUUUUUAUUUAUUAAAUUAUUUAUUAUUUAUACAUAAAUUAUAGUUUUACAUCAUACACUUCCUACCAAACAAGCAACAGAACUAAUGAAACUCCACUUCCAUAACUACAAAACAAACAGCAGGAAAGAAAUAGUUUUCAUUGAACUCGACCCCAAUCCAAAGUCCACUUCAAUCCAAAACCCAGUUUCGGUGAAACAAACAUGCCCUUGAUGAAUGAUACCUGAGGUUCCAAGUUGAAAGUCUAGCUGGUUUAUAUUUCUAGCUAAAUUUAUUUCUAAAAAAAAAAAAGGAAGCAGUAGCAAAUAUAUAAAUACAUUUAAAGAAUAUAUAAUUCGGUCGGGCCGUGCGAAAAGUAAGAAGCCCAAGCCUAGCCUGUUCCUUGCUGGGCCUUCAAUUUUUUUCAGAGUAAGUUUAAAUUAAUUGACUGGGCCUGAUCCAGAAAACAGUAAUCGAAAUCGAAAGGGUUAGGUUGGUUUUGCUCAGGUCAAUGGCAGAUAAUGAAUCUAAUUUUGAGGGUAAAAUACAAAAAACUUUCUUGUAAAUAAAUCUAUAUUCUCCGUCACGUAUAUACUAUCAUUGUUACGUCCAUUUUUUAUUUUUUUACUGAAAGUACUCUUAAAAAUAAGUAUAUUAAAAAAAUUAAUUUUUUUGUUGUGGAAUGCGUAAGGAUAAUUCAGUCCUCUCAUUCUCUCCAUCAACCUCAGUAAUCUCACGGAAAUAUUUCUAAAAUUUUAAGAGGGUUAAAAAUGUAGGUUUUGAAAAACAGAGAGAAAAAGUUUUUUUAAAAAAUUUAUAGGAAGAUUUUUUGUAUUUUAGUCUUAUUUUAACCUUGAACUCCAAUAUUUGAUUCUAAUUCCCCCUAGGUUUGCUAUAAACUGAACCAUUUGAUUGCGUAAUUCAAUAAUUAGUAUGAUAAUUUGGUGAACUAAUCUACUACAUAGGCAGCCUAUUUUUCCUUCUUUUGUAUAUGCAUAGAAAGGGACAACUCAAGGAAAAUAUUAAAAAGGUACAGAGCAAGUUGAGGGAAGCGCCAAUUACAUUGCACUGCCCUAUUUUUCUUUAAGGUGCCCUUUGAUUCGAGAACAAGUUAUUUUUAAUUUGUUUUUAAAAUAAAUAUAAUUUUUGAAAUAGGGAGGACUUAUUUUAAUUUCGUGUGCAACUACUAUCCUUUUAGGAGGACAUCCUAAUUCAUUUUAGAUGAUAGGAAACCUGACUCGAUGACCGUAAUCGUUAAAAUUGAUCUACAGUAUUUAUAAUGUCUAAAAAUUAAACUUCAUACACUUUGAAUUUAUUAUCAAGUUUAUUAAAGAGUCGAAAAAUGAACUGUAAAAAAUAAAUAACCUUUUGAAAAUAUAUGUUAGACUUUUUCAAAUCAUAAUCAUAGUUAUCAAACGUUAUCUAAAUAGUAUAAAAAAACAAUUAUCCAAAAUUCAAACUCUUUGAAUUGUUCUACAAGCAAACGGGUCAUACAGGCUAUUAAAAAAAAAACUAUCGAUUUUGUGAUCCUUUGAUCACUAUAUAAAUAAUUUUUAAUAUUCAUGAAAUUUAGUUUCUAGACACCUUAAAUACUCUAGAUCAACUUUAAAAAUUCUGAUCAUCGAUUCGAAAUUUCUAUCAUCUAAAACGACUUAGGAGGACGAAGUCAUCCGUCCUCGUAAAAAGAUAGCAGUUGGAUUUUAUAUAUAUAUAUAUAUAUAUAUAUAUAUAUAUAUAUAUAUAUAUAUAUAUAUAUAGGGAGAGAGAGAGAGAGAGAGAGAGUUCGGUUGGAAUACUAUCGAUAGUACUAAGUACUUUGUGUUACCAAGCUUUCCGCCGUUAGAUUUAAUCCUUUGACUAUUUUCAUCCAUUAUAAUAUACUAUGCAACUAAAAACUCACUCAACCCCAGAGGGCAUGUAUCAUUCUAACCGUAUAUUUUUUCAUCUAAGGGCCGAAAAUCUAAUAACACCAAUAACUUGGUACUAUUGAUAGCAUUACAGCCUAAUUCUAUAUGAGUUCGGCUGGAAUAUUAUCGAUAAUACCAAAUAAUUGGUGCUAUUGAGUUUUAUGUAACAUAACUGCGGCAAGAGAGCUAUAUAUUUUGCUCACAUCUACUUUAUUAUAUGUCAAAGUAGACCAAACCCCUAAUUAGGGAACCUUUUUGACGAAGAGAGAGAAAAGGAGCAGCCACACUUAGAAAUCCAGGUUCCAAGUGAGCAUGCACCAACCAUUAUAAUUGCGAUGUACAUCUUUUUUUUGAAGUAUAUGCCACAAUCAAUGAAACCAAACGAAGCUGUUUAUGUGUUUCUAUCGGAUCUGUCGGCGCAGGUCAGAUCCAUAGACUAUACAUAAAAAAAACGAUUCUGCAUUAAUUAAUACCGUCUUUUUGUUUGAGAGAGAGAUAGGUAGCACGCUACCCGCUUCGUUUAUUUCAUUUAGAAAUAAAUUUAGCUGGAAAUGUGAAUCAACUAAGAUUCGAACUUGGGUCUCGGGUACCAACCACCAAGCCCUUUGCCACUUGCUCUAGGGACGGCCGAUAAUUAAUACUGUCUUUUUGGUCCGAACAACUAUUCAGUUAUACAUUGCGAAGAAUUUCAAAGUUUGACGUUUAUUUUGAUAGAGUAAGGCUUCGUUUGGAAUUACGAAAAAAUUGCGUUAUGUGUGGUGAUAAAAUACGAUGGAAAAAUACCAUAUUUGUUUCUGUACGUAAUAUUACGGUCCCACCAGAGAAUGCAGAAAUAUAUUCUAUAUGUUUUUUUCCUAAUUUCAUUUUAUCUAACAUCGUCAGAUAUAUCUCAAUACCAAAUUAAUUCUUAAUUUGUCUUAUUUCAAGAGAACAAAUAAUGCCCGUUGGGGCAUUUGACCGUACUUCUUAUCUAUUAAAUAUUAAAAAUAAUACGAAUAAAUCAAACAAAUAUAAUACUAAAAGAAGAUGUUUUUAUAUUUGCCAAUUAUGUUAGUUACAUUACCUAGGGAAGACUAAAUAUUUAUAAUAAAACUAAAAAUUUCAAAUUAUUAAAUCAUUUCAAAUUCAUGUAAUAUUGUGUUAUUUUUUGUGUAAACGAAUUUGUGUUGUGUCGAUUUUGAAUUUCUCCCUGUAUUUUCAUUCGGGAGCUUUUUUUUUGUAUUAACUCAUUAAAUAAUUGGGCUUUUGGGGAAAGCUUGAUUUUAUAUGCUUUGAUGUUACAAGUUACAACACGACCUAACCCACUAAAUGAAGAAAUUAAAAAAAAAAAAAAAGGAAAAAGGGGAAAAAAAAAAAGUGCUUUACUUUGUAUCAUCUCUAAAGUAUAAUAGACGCCCAUGUUGCGAUUAGAUUUUAUGCAUGCAUGUGAUAUGCGUGGUACGUAUUUUAUUUAGCAAAUAAUUUCAAAUAUGAAUUGUAUCGUUAUUGAAAUAAGGAGUUUAUAGUAUUCGAGGGCUUUUUUUGCAAAUAGCCCCCUGAUAAUUUUUUUUUUAAAUUUGGCUCUGUCAAAAAUUUAUUUACAAAAAUGGUCAUGCCCCUGCCAUGCAAGCGCCACGCGGACGGGGCAAGAGUUUAAGUUGAACACGGUGAACCAUUCACCGUGUUUAAACACGAUAAAUGGUUCACCGUGUCCAAUACAAAUAUGCCCACUUAGCAAAAAAAUGGUUAAGGCGAGUUAGUUGUAUUGGACACGGUGAACCAUUCACCGUGUCCAAUACUAAUACAGCUUUAGCCAAAAAAUGACUAAGUCCUAGAUAAUUGUAUUAGACACGGUGAAUCUUUCACCGUGUCCAAUACAACUACCUAGGACUUAGCCAUUUUUUGGCUAAGUGAGGAUAUUUGUAUUGGAUAUGGUGAACCAUUCACCGUGUUCAAACACGGUAAAUGGCUCACCGUGUUCAACUUAAACACCUCGCCCCAAUCCCGCCCGCGUGGCGCUGACGUGGCGUUUGCGUGACAGGGACAUGGCCAUUUUUGCAAAUAAAUUUUUAACAGGAUCAAUUUUAAAAUAAAAUUUUAUCAAAGAACUAUUUGCAAAAAAAACCCCAGUAUUCGAAGUCACGAUCUCUUGCUUAUCAUAUUAAAAAGUUUAAACUAAUCCAAAAUUUUAAACUGAGACAACUAAAAUUACUCUGACACAAUAUCAAACUAUUUUUGUUAAUUCGCCCCUACUAUCUUUUUAUUCUUUCUUUCCAAUACGAGUAUCAAGUGCUACUUAGUCAUGGAUAUUUAUUAAUUAGCAAAUACUCAUAGCUAUAAAUAUAUAAUUAGCUAAAAAAUGAACCAGGUAUAUAUUUGACCUCAAUAUUUAAGUAAUAUUGUGAUAGAUAAGUUUGGCCUUCCUAAGCUGGCCAAAGCUUUAAAUAAAAGGAGCGCUACAAUGUUUUAAAUUAUAAUACAAAAUUUUAAUAAAAUUGAUAUAUAUAUAUACACACACGAGUUUGGGCUAGAAUACUAUUAAUAGUAUUUACCUUUUUUGCUAUCAAGUUUUUAGUUUUUAAAUUAAUUCCUUUAAUCAUUUCUAAUCACUGAAUUAAAUAUUAUAAUACAGUGGGAACCACUCAACCCUAAGAGAUUAAUAUCAUGCUAACCCUAUAAUUUCUCAUUCAACAUCAGUUAAAAAUUUGAUAGCGAAAAGGGCUAAAUACUAUAAAUAGUAUUCUAGUCCAACUCUCUCUCUCUCUCUCUCUCUCUCUCUCUCUAUAUAUAUAUAUAUAUAUAUAUAUAUAUAUAUGACUCCAACUAAGUAUUAAUUAAGCUACUGAAACAUUAUCAAGUGUCAUAGAGAAUUUCAUAUCAAGAUAUAAUAUUCAACUUUUCUUUGUGGAAAAGAUGAACAUUAUCUCUCACAUGUCAUUAUCUGAAUAGAAUAAAAUGCCCAAUUAAUAAAUAUUUCGCAAUAUAUAUAAGUAAGUCAUUGUCAAACAACUUUAGUUUGUUACCUAAAAAAUCUCCACUAUAUAUAUUUUUUAAAAAAAAUUAGAAGGUUCUUAUGUCUCCAACAUGGUAAUAAUGAAAGAUAAUAAGCUUUUUCCUGUUGAUUAUUGUGUUACGUGACAUAAAUAUAUAGUUUAUGUUUAUUUUAUCAUUUUUAGGGGGGUAAAUUUUCUUAAGAUGAUUUAUCCUUUUAACUAGUCUAAACGUUUAGUGAGUCACACAGACCGAAAGCGAAAGGACUCCACCGACAAAGUGAUCCAAAUAUUCUCUUCAUUUAUUUGCAUAAUCAGAAGGAAACACCCCAAUAAGGCUAAAUAAUAAUAAAAUACUAAUAUUUAAGUUAAUGAAAAAUAAAAAAAGAAAAAGCACACAACUUUAAUUCGACUUCUUUUUUUCUUUUUUUCUUUUUUUUUUUUUUUUGCAGAAAUACUGUUUUGUGAAUAGUUGUUGUAGAAGUAGUAACUAGAUCCAGCUUCUUUGUAUUGCAUGUUGUAUUCACGCUUCUGCUUCUAUGAUCAGAAGUUAACUACUUUUUUAAGUUCUAUACUAGCAAAAAUUUUCGGUUUGUUAUCUAUCAAAAGCGCGAUAACAGCUUUUAGGAGUUGAGAAGUGUAAUCAAUCUAAGUUGUGCACAGAAUUAUAUGAAAUUUUUAUGCAUAUGUUCUUUUAGAGUAUCUUUGACAUUUACAGGCGUAGCUAGCCUAAGAACUAUUAACUCAGUGAAUAUGAUAUUAAAAACAUAUAUAGUAUCAAAGCAAGACGCUGUUGUUUCACAUAAUACUAAUUCAAGUCCAUGUCUUGGGUUUAUUAAUUAUUAAAAACGUUAAUUUUUUUUUUUCUCGGAGCCCUUGUUGCCUCAUUCAUAUAGCCUAGUUUAUUUAUUCAAUGAAUAAAGCGGAUAGCAUACUAUCUUUUUCUCAAAAAAAAAAAACAUUAUUAUUAGACAUCUUAAGCUUUUGGAGCAAACAAUUAUUUUAUAUUAUUUUAUAUAACCACUUCACUUAGAAGAAUAGCUCAGGAGAGAAACUACUGAGUGGUAUAUCAAUUAUUAGACUAAAAAGUUUUGGUUUAAUCGAAGUUCCAUAUAAGCUAAAGCAUAUGACAUAUAAAUUUGAAUUCAACCUAAGACUUACAAUCCCUAAGGUCAGUAAUAUUAACAUAUAUAGUAUAUAUCGCCAAUUUUGGCUGUAUAGUUGAUAGAUACUCUCAUUUCCAAAUGAUAGGUCGCAAAAUUCAUGUCCUGCUUUAAUUGGAAUGUUAGGUAUAUACGUAUGUGUGAGCUCGUGGGAGUAUAAAAAAUAUAUAUAUUAAUUGAAAUAUGGAGCACACCAUCAUAUUUUUCUUGAGAAAAAGUUAAAGAGGGUGUGAACUUUUUUAGGAAGAUAACAAAAGGUGAAGACGUACUCCAUCUUUUCCCAAACAUAAAGAAAGAGAAGGUCUAAAUUGUGAUAAGAAAUAGUGUAAUAAAUAAUUGUUUUGAUAAUAUAAAUUUUCAAGAACCAGGCCACUUAUGUUAAAAUAAAGAAUAGUUCAAGACAAAUAGAAUAUACUUUGCAUAUUCCAAAAUAGUCCCUACGGCAAAAGAGAUGGCAAUUCAAAUUUGAGAGGCGAAACGAAAACUACACACAAACAAACACUACGGCUUUACAUGAGAUUGUAGAUCGAUUGCGCUACAUAUAGUGAGAAUAAAGUGUAUUUAUAGGUACGUAGCAUCAACAUCACAACAAACUGAUUCAGAUAUUAAGUUUGUAAACUGAUCAUUAAAAAACUAGAAAAGUAUAGACUAAAAUAUAGAAAACUUGUCUAUAAAUAUCUCGUUGUUUACUUUUCUUCUUGAUUUUCAAAAAUUAUAUUUUUUUUUAAUUUAAAAAUAUUUUUCGAGGGUUACUGUAUUAAUGGAAAGGACGAAAUGAUCAGAUUAUUCUUAUUUUAUAAAAAAAAAUAUUUUAAUAUAUUAUAUCAUUUUAAGGAUUUUUUUUGUGUAAAUUAUAAAAAAAAUGACAUAAUUGUAACAGAACCUUGACGGAGAGGGGGUAAAUGCAUCAACUUAAAAUUUUGAUUUUGAGGAUGUAAAAUAUAAAUUUUUGAAAGCCAAGAAAAAAAAGUGAAGAAAAAGAUAAUUUUUUUAUAGAUUAAAUUACAGAAAAUCCUCCUAUCAAUACCCGUUUUUUUACUUUUCACUCAAUCAUUUAAAAACUUACACUUUGCUCUCUUAAAAAAUAAAAAAUAUUCACUUUUGAUCCCGCCGUCAAUGUUUCGUUAAAGUUUCAUUUAUAUCCUAUUUUUUAUACUCAAAUUAUCCCUAAAACCCUUCUCCUUCCUCAUCCUCGGUCGCGCCGCCUCAACCUCCGCAGUGCCGCCUCGCCCUUGCCCACCUCUUUGUUCAUAACUACACACACGCCCUAGUCCGCCUCCGCCGCCUCACCCUCGCCCUUGCCCACCUUUUCGUCCACGCCCACCCCAAAAAAGAUGAGUGGCAAUUUAGUCAUUUUGUCACGGCGUACUCCUUGUGAAUAUUUUUUUUAUUUUGUAAGAAGGUAAAGUGCAGAUUUUUGAAUGACAAAAUAAAAAAGUAAAAAAAAUAGAUAUUGACAGAAAAGAUUUCUGAAAUUUAACCUUUUUUAUAUUGUAGUAAAAAACACACCUUCAAAUACUUUCGUCCGAGCUAUUUUUCAUGGAACAAUACCAGACGGCUCUCAUGCAACAGUACUAGACAGAUUCACAGAACACCCGGAAGAAACUGCCAUGUAUCUUAAUUAGAUCACGAUCAAUGUAUCUUAAUUAGAUCACUAUCAUCUAUAUAUACUACUAAUAUAUUAUUUUGAAAUUUGACCUGGGAGAUUUUUCUUUCUUCGAAAGGAACUGGAACUGGAGCUGGAACUUUUUCCCUCACGAAUAUGCUGUGGUUCAGCUUCUGCACAUCAUGCAACCACCGCUGCUUUGGAUUUUAGUCCCUGCACCCUCCCUCCCCCCCCCCUCCUUUCACGAAAAAUUCUAGAAUGCAUCGGGUAUAUUGAUGACGUGGCGUAACAAACAAAUCAAAAAAUUCUUUUUAGAAAUAUAUGUCCCAUCAUGAUUAUAAAAAAAUAUUUUUAUUGUACUUUUGUUUGAAAAGAAGAAAAAUGAUUGACUUGUUAUUGAUGAUGUGGUGCAAAUGUAAUAAUGUAGAAUUCCUCCUACUUUCACCCAAAAACGUCGCCACCAACGCGACAAGCAACCGCACCCGAGGGGAAACUCUCAUCUCUCAAUUAAUUGUAACACUUCACCCACCUUAAUUAACUUAAUUAAGACAUAUUAUAGGAAAUUAUUUUUAAACACAAGUUUAAAUAUUUAUGAGCUUUGUUUUUUUUUAAAAAAAAAAAAAAGAAGAGAAACGCAUGUGAGAGUGAAAUCCCGAUGUGCAAACGCCCCCAUAAGAAAACACCCUGCGAGCAGAGCACACGUGGACACGUGCAGUUCCCUCUAAUCUCCUUUAGAUCCUUCCUAUGCUUGAUUUUUUACGGCAAAUUGUACAAAACCCCUCCGAGUUUAGCUGAUUUGCAAACUAGCUCCUAAACUUAUCUAAGCUCUCUGUUGCUACCUAACUCUUAAAAAUUUUAAUUUUGCUAUGAGCCUUUUAAUUUAUUUAAUGUACAAAAUCCCUCCAACUUUAGCUGAUUUGCAAACUAGCUCCUAAACUUAUCCAUUAUGUUAUCAAUCAUUUUGAUCUAAGUACCUGACUCUUAAAAAUUUUAAUUUUAUUUUGAUCUUUUUAACAAUAACUUCUUCGCUUAAAAUUUGAAUAUGUUGUUUUAUUUUAUGAAUUUAAUUAGCUUAUUUUAUAUUAUUUAUGUAACUAUAUAUUCAACAAAAUAAGUAAUUAAGUUAAAUUUUGUAUCAGAAGAAUCAUCAAAUGACAUAUAUUAAAUAAAUUGAAAGGUUCGUUAGUAAAAUCAAAAUUUUAAAAGAUUGAAUAAUCCAAUCAAAAUAUAUAGUCUACAUAGUUUACAAAAGGAUCAUACGUAUUUACCUGGUUUAAGAGGCUCCUCUCCUCAAUAGAAAUUGCUAAUUACACAAUCUUGUGAUGAUAUAUAUGUCAUGCACACAAUAAUUUUGUUAGAUAUUAAAAUAUAAAAAAAAUAUAUUUUUUCUCUUCUAUUUUUUAUAAGUAGAAAUGAGAAUUGAAAAACAAGAUGGAGCAAAUUUCAAUAAUUAUUUUUUAAAAUAUUUUAGAAUAGAAAAAAGUAUAUUUUUGGAUUUUAAAAUUUUAUAGGAUUUUAAGCAAAUUUACAUAAUUAAAGCAGCUAUGUAAUUAAUAACUUUAACUGAAGAUAGCUAUUUAAUUGAAUUUAACAAACUUAAAUAUUAACAUUAAAUAUUCAGAUGCAUGCUUAUUAGUAAAAUUGGAAAAAUUCAUGGGGUUUAUUUACAUUUAUCCCUUCCCUAUAUAAAGAGACAAAUUAUAAUGUUUUGUCCCUAUACUUCUCAGUACUCAGUAGUCACUACAUUAUAUCUUAAUCAGGAGACAAACUAUGGCCCACAUGCCCCAAAUCUCUCCAAUGAAUCCAAACCAGUACUAGUGACACACUAAUUAGAUAAAUUAAUUAAUACAAAAGAUCCUUUUUGUGAUAUAUAUAUAUAUAUAUAUAUAUAUACAAUAGUAGAGUCCCAGUUGUACUGGAGUAAAUAAAUAAAUGGUAGGGUUAAUAACACUUACAUAUCUAUCAUUGUAAAGUUUUAGUCAUCAGAUGUAUGCAUCAAAAAUUGUAUAAUUUACAAAUAACUUUUUCUCUCUUAGUUAAGCAAUUAAAAUAGACAUUUUUUUUUAUACAAAAUGAUUAAUUAUUUCCAUUCUUAGAUAAAUAGUUUUUACUUAUAUUUAUGUUUUUAUGCUAACUUUUGCGUUAUUUUAUGCGAACAAUAAAUUCUAAAUGCUAAAAAAACUUAAAAAAGAAUUAUUUUUCGCA
rnacentral:lncRNA from 1 species